CAUUUGUUGUGCGAAAACAGCUGCUUGCAAACUGAUCAGCAACACGUUUCCAGCCUGCGUCAUAUACUGGAGUCUGGCAGGAAUGAAAUGGAAAGGUGUUUCUCUUCAUAAAACAUAAGUUUGUUCGAGCAAAAAUGAUCUGCAUGAUGCAUCAGUCUGUAUAGAGUAUGACUCAUUCUAAACGUUGCAUGGAUGAUGCAUGGUCCAGUCUCCAGUAGGAUUUCUGACUACAACAAGAGAAGAUUUAUGGAUGUCCAAAUUCAAGUCUGACAGUCGAGCUUGAAAAUGUCACUCGCCAGAAAGGCCAGCUUGCCCAAAGCCAAGAAUGGAGCGCAAUUGAAAGCCUCGCAACACCCGAGAAACUUGUGUUUGGAACAUGGAAUGCUCUUCCUGACGGUUAUAGGAACAUGAAGAAAUAUGCAUUUGGAGUAUUAUCCAUCUUUGGAUCAACAUACCUGUGCGAGCAGAUAUUCUCAAACAUGAACUACAUUAAAUCCAAAUACUGCAACCGCCUCACAGAUGAGAGCUUGCAGUCAUGUGCCAAGAUUAAAAGUUACAUUUGACAUGCCCGAUGUUGAGAAGCUGUCCAGUGAUGUCCGAAAACAGAAGUCACAUUAAACACGUCCAAUGACGGCUGCGUUGUAUUGUGCGCGUCAAAAGAGAAGAGGAUGCUGCUUUUUACCUUGCACUGACUUACUUAGCAUUUGUAGAAAACUAAAGAGAAGAGGAUAAUGCACAAAAAUGUAACUUAAACUGUAUUAUUUUAACUUUUUAUACUUUACCUGUUCAAAAGGCUGCUGUUUUAUUAUUUAAGCAGGCUGCGUUUUAUUUGCAGGCUGUGAUUUAUCACACUCAUGUGCAAUUGUUGCCUAUUCAUUUGUGUCUGUUGCCGCCAUUAGGGGGGAAAGAGACGAAGAUUGUGCAUUAUUUUAUUUUAUUAAUCGUAAUGGAUGGAUGCAAAUGAAACUGGCUUAUUUUCGUAGUACUUAGCUUUUCAAAAGGCUGCUCUUUCAUUUUUAUAAUUGCAGGAUGCGUUUUAUUACAAUCUGUCUGUUGCCCAGAUAAGGGGCAAAAGAGAAGAGGAUUGUUUGUUUUAUUGAGGAUUGAAGAGGACUGCAUUUUAUUUCCAUGGGGAGGUCUGAAAUUACAGGAGGCAUGUUCCAUUUUUUUUUUUUUUUUUUUAAUCCUCAAACAUUUAAAAAAAAAUUCUGUAAAGGAUUAUGUGCUGUGGCGACCCCUAAUGGGACACGCUGAAAGGGAAAGAAAGAAAGAGACACAGGGAUAUAGAUAGAUGAUACAAUGAUGAAUUAUAAUAAACCACUACUGCGUAUGAAACUGGAUAUGCAUACAAUUUAUACAUUACUUUCUUGUGCACAGUAUGUUAGUAUUCCACUUUAGUCUGUUGUUCAAGUGUACUCCCAAGUACUUGUAGUGCUGCACCAUUCCAAUAUCCUCACCCAUGAUGCAAACGAGUGUUGGUCCUGGUCCUCCCAAAGUCCAAAACUAGCUCCUUAUUUUUGCUAGUGUCGAGGAUUUUGAUGAUUCCAGCUGAACCAGUCCACAAAAUUGUCUACCAGUUCUCUAUAAUCCAUCUCCUGUCCAUCUUGAAUACAAAACUGCCUCAUUUUAGAUGAAAACUGUUAAAUAUAUUUUAGAAGUUAUCAUUUAUUUGCUUAGCUUGCAUUAGUAUUAUGGACGAUUUUAGAUGUCUCGCCUUCAAAAAGAUGACUCAGCAUCAUCCGAUGGAAGGGCGCCUGGACCAAGGACGUGAUCGGAUGUGGUCGGGGACGUGACAGGUGUUGGUCCAAUGUUUUGUGUUGUGUCUUAUUGUUUAGAACAUUAUGUCUGGGAAAAACCCUCCUAUUUUCAAAUAAAUGCAGGAGCGACGGGAGAGAUUGG